AUGCAUGAGUUAACUAAGGAAAACAUUGAGCGUAUGAAUGCUAAAUAUAAACUUGCUGGAGAUAAGGGUAGAAAACAUGUUGUGUUUGCACCUGGAGAUCUUGUUUGGUUACAUUUGCGUAAGGAUAGAUUUCUUGAUUUGCGCAAAUCAAAGUUAAUGCCACGUGCUGAUGGUUCCUUUAAGGUGUUAGAGAAAAUAAAUGAUAAUGCAUAUAAACUUGAGCUGCCUGCAGAUUUUGGGGUUAGUCCCACUUUUAACAUUGCAGAUUUGAAGCCUUAUUUGGGUGAGGAAGAUGAACUUCCGUCGAGGACGACUUCAUUUCAAGAAGGGGAGGAUGAUGAGGACAUCAAUACAAUUGUUACACCCACAGCCCCUGCUGCUAUACAUACUGGACCAAUUACUAGAGCUCGUGCACGCCAACUAAAUUACCAGGAAACAGACCCUCGUGGUCAGGUUGAUCGUGCUCCGGCGUGGUCAAUAACCUCUCGGAGUUGGUUUAGCGAUUGCUAA
rnacentral:rRNA from 1 species